rnacentral:lncRNA from 7 species
AGACAAUCCUGAAAAUGCUGGAAUGCUCAGGCAUAGGCUGAGCAGUUCUUCAUGAUGUGCAGCAGUUGCCCUGCUGGGUCACAAACUUGUGCAGAGCUGUGCUUGUCACCUGGGCAGCCAUGAUCAGCAUCUGCCUGGCCCUUGCACAGAGAGCCUAUUAGCACACCAUCUUCCAUACCUGUGAUUCAGGAAGUAACUGCUGUAGUGCUCAGGUGAAGAAACUGCAACAGAUACCUCCCAGUAUGUAUCUUUUCUAAGAGGAUCUCAGUCAGCCUUGUGCCAUUGUGAAUUAUGGUGUCAGAAGGACACCUCCAGCAACAAUGCGAAGAGCCUUAUAUGCGUAGGAGCAUAUUCUGGCAAGUCAUGAAGUCACUUCAUAAAUGACUUGAAGAGGCCUGUGGAACUAUUUGGGUAUCAGAAGCCAUUUCUAUACCUGCUAAUGCUAUAAGUCGGGAUUGUAUUUUUAUGUGUGUUGUAUUUAUACAUGGAAGUUCUGGUGUUUGGGUAAUUUCAGAGAAUUGCAGUGUCAGUCAUUGUUUCUUAUCCAUGGAUGGAACACCAUUGUCCUUCACACCCACAUUAUUUCUCUCAGCUUUUAAAGCUCUUCUUGUGAGAGGGUUUUUAGCUAUGAGAAAGGAGCCAAAAUAAUUAGGAUGAGCUUUGCUGUAUCAUGUCAUUCCUGAGAUCUGUGCUGACACAUCUGAAAAUAGUUAAUAUGGACUUGAUGCAUCCACAAUGAGUUAUAUAAGUCAGUGGGCCAUGGAAGUAAUACCACUGCACAGAAAUACUGUCAUUGCUAGGAAAACCAUGAAUAAUUCCUCCCCAGCCCAGAGGAGAAGUGAUUAGUUAUCAACUGUCUCUUUGCCUCUGCAUUUUUUUCUUAAAAAGCAUCUCAAGCCCUAAUGUUUCAAAUCUCAAAGUAAUGAAAAAUACUGGCUUUAUUGUAUACCCCAUACAUAAAUCUAUGCAAAUGUAGUGUGAAGGGAGAGUGCGACUACAUACAAAUGCAUGAUUACACUGGAACUUGUCAUGUGUUUUUCUAUGCCUCUUUGCUUUGCAAUGGCUUCAGCUAUCAAACCAUCACUGUAACAACUGUCAGAUGAAUUUUUAAACACUAGUGCAAAUCUGAGAAGUCAAGAUCUAAGGUACAUUUAAAUAAUAAAUUUCAGCAUACUUUC